AAAUCCAUUGAUAGAAGCGGUUUUCUUUUUCUUUUUUUCAAAUUAAUUUUUAAGCGUCUCGCAACUGUAGCGGUGGAAAAAAUAAAGUAAUGUAGCUUGCUCAGUGACUAUACAACUGGAGAUUCCCUUUGAAACUGGGUUGAUCUUGGAAGGAUUCAUUCCGUUUCUCAAUGGAACUCUCAAUUUUCUACUUCACUGUGGUUUUCACCGUCACCUUUCUCCUUGGUAUUGUUAUCAUUCUUCUCUCUCAGAACUGUUUCCGUUUCCCACUGCACUAAUAAAACCACCAUCAAAAUCAGGCAGAAUGUCACAUACAGGAUCUUUGCAGUUGUUGUAUUCCGUGUACAUGCAUACCUUCAAUGUUGGAUCACAACAUGUUGCUUCAGCGAGGGACUCCAACUCAGUGCUUUUAAUACGUUUAUGAAGCCUCUCAGUAACACAUUACAAAUGUUCAUGCACUUUGCAGAGGUAUGUUUCUCUGUUGGAAAUGGUCAGGUGGACAACACAGAAUGGAUGCAUUUGGCAGGAAUGGGAAGUAUUGAAGUUUGCUUGAUCAAUUUUCCAGCAGAAAUCUCCUGUGGACAUUUUUCAUAGUGUCAUUAAAAAAUAAAAACGCUCCUGCAUUUUGUGCUUCCCUUUAGUUUGGGUAUGGUUUUUUUUUCUUUCCUGCAGUUAAAUGGCUUGUGUCAUGUCUUGUAAAACAAGGCAACAACUCUCUCAUAAAAUCUACAUUGUUAGGGAUCCAAACAGCAAAGCUGCUGGAACCUUAUUGUUUUUAUGUUAGGUCUAUUAUUAUUAUUGUUAUUAUUAUUAUUCCCUAAAACAGAAUGGGGAGCAAAAACUGUGAAUUGUAGAGCUAUGAAACUUGGCAGGCAUGUUCUUCUGCCCCCCACCCCCACUGCUCAGUUUAUCGUAAUGACGCCUAGUGGACAGAUGGUGGUAAUGUAACGAAUGUAACGCGUUACUACUGAACUGUGUGGUCUAAAAUUUAAAUUAUUUUUUUCUCCAGAUUCCUUGGCUCAUGCUAAACAGUAUGUGUAUUGCUGAUUUAAUGUCCAUCAUGUUGAAUUUUCUGCCAUUUAGCUUCUUUUUUUUUUCUUUUUUUUUUUGCAAAAGGUACUUUUGCAAAUUAGUCUGGGGCCAUUUGGUCCAUCAUCACUACAUUAGUCUUGAAAUAAUGUAUGCAGUCUAUGUAGCCUAUGGAGUCUAAUUAAAAAAUUAUCAAAAAAUGUGGAUUUUUCUGAACAAUAUGGCUGCCACACGUAAAUCAAUUGUUAUGGGUGUGGCCAUUUUUUACUAACACAGCUGUAACUCAUGAACAUUAUGUCCUCACCAAACUCGCUACUCCAAUGCAAAAUGUGCUUCAGAGGCAGCCUACAGGAUUUGGCACAUCUCUGCCAAUAGGUGGUGCAAUGAGAAACAAAUCAUUUUAAAUACCUGAAACUCUUCAACUGUUUGAACAAUCAGGUUUGCAUCCUACAUCUCUGUGCAAGGCUCCAACAGUGUUUACAAUCAUCAAAACUAUCUUUAAAAACAUUACCACCAUCAGCCAAUCAGAUAUCAUCAGCCAUUUGACAGGCUUGGGAUCAGUCAGCCAUUGGGGGGUGCUAUAGCAAACAUGCAGGUUUUAAAAGAGCAUAUCCAUGCCUAUGGCUAAUGGAAAAUCAUAUAAUUUACAUCAGUAGAUCCUACUCCUUCAGAUGAACAACUUUGCCCAAGAACCAACAUCGGCAACCAUUUAGAUUUUUCUUCAUAUAGAGGGUGGGUCCCAAUACCCUAAAAAUGUAUCCUCCUUUCUUCCACUACCACCUUGUCUCCUCUGUGCUCAUCUCCUCCCUCUAUUGUCCCAAUAUUGGAAGAGAUGAGCUAAGUGGCUUCAAACCCUGAUCCUCGCUUCCUCCAGCAAAGGAUACAUCAAUGUAUGCUACCACAGAACUAAUUUCUGGGUGACAUGAUCAUGCUCACGCCUACUGAGGAUGAAAGAUCAUCACAAAGAAUCUGACAUUAUCCAAAUUCAAGAAAGUGGAGAUGGCGAAUAGCUUGAAUUUCCCCAGUUAUGCAAAAUAUUUUGCUAUGUCUGUGUGUGGUUCCGUAGUUCCUUAUUACAUAUGUUGCCUUCAAGUAAAUGUCAGUUUGUUGUUGUGGCUUAUAUCUUUGGCUAUUUAAGACAGGCAAGCAAAUUUAUUUAUUUUCAUCUACAUUAAUGCUGCUAAAAACAAACAUGUCUCUGAACAUAAAUAAGCAUGACCACUACCAUUAUUUCAGUAUGUGAAUAUGCAUGAAUGAAUGUAUUCAACCAGCCGUUUCCAAUGGACAUAUUUAUUACCAACAAAUUAAAUUUCAUUUGAUUUCAUA